rnacentral:rRNA from 1 species
GACGAACGCUGGCGGCGUGCUUAACACAUGCAAGUCGAACGGAAAGGCCCUGCUUUUGUGGGGUGCUCGAGUGGCGAACGGGUGAGUAACACGUGAGUAACCUGCCCUUGACUUUGGGGUAACUUCAGGAAACUGGGGCUAAUACCGGAUAGGAGCUCCUGCUGCAUGGUGGGGGUUGGAAAGUUUCGGCGGUUGGGGAUGGACUCGCGGCUUAUCAGCUUGUUGGUGGGGUAGUGGCUUACCAAGGCUUUGACGGGUAGCCGGCCUGAGAGGGUGACCGGCCACAUUGGGACUGAGAUACGGCCCAGACUCCUACGGGAGGCAGCAGUGGGGAAUAUUGCACAAUGGGCGGAAGCCUGAUGCAGCAACGCCGCGUGCGGGAUGACGGCCUUCGGGUUGUAAACCGCUUUCGCCUGUGACGAAGCGUGAGUUACGGUAAUGGGUAAAGAAGCACCGGCUAACUACGUG